rnacentral:rRNA from 1 species
UACGUAGGGGGCAAGCGUUUGUCCGGAAUCAUUGGGCGUAAAGCGCGUGUAGGCGGUUCAGUAAGUCUGCUGUGAAAGUCCAGGGCUCAACCCUGGGAUGCCGGUGGAUACUGCUGGGCUAGAGUACGGAAGAGGCGAGUGGAAUUCCCGGUGUAGCGGUGAAAUGCGCAGAUAUCGGGAGGAACACCAAUUGCGAAGGCAGCUCGCUGGGACGUCACUGACGCUGAGACGCGAAAAG